rnacentral:rRNA from 1 species
AACGCGAAGAACCUUACCUGGGCUUGACAUGUGGGUGACCGGUGUGGAAACACACCUUCCCUUCGGGGCACCUUCACAGGUGGUGCAUGGCUGUCGUCAGCUCGUGUCGUGAGAUGUUGGGUUAAGUCCCGCAACGAGCGCAACCCCCGUCGCAUGUUGCCAGCAUUUAGUUGGGGACUCAUGCGAGACUGCCGGUGACAAACCGGAGGAAGGUGGGGAUGACGUCAAGUCCUCAUGCCCCUUAUGUCCAGGGCUACACACGUGCUACAUUGGCGCAUACAGAGGGCUGCGAUACCGCGAGGUGGAGCGAAUCCCUUAAAGUGCGUCUCAGUUCGGAUAGCAGGCUGCAACUCGCCUGCUUGAAGUCGGAAUCGCUAGUAAUCGCGGAUCAGCACGCCGCGGUGAAUACGUUCCCGGGCCUUGUACACACCGCGCAUA